UACAGAGGGGGCAAGCGUUGUUCGGAAUUACUGGGCGUAAAGGGCGCGUAGGCGGCCUUCUAAGUCGAACGUGAAAUCCCCGGGCUCAACCCGGGAACUGCGUCCGAUACUGGAAGGCUUGAAUCCGGGAGAGGGAUGCGGAAUUCCAGGUGUAGCGGUGAAAUGCGUAGAUAUUGGGAAGAACACCGAUGGCGAAGGCAGCCAUCUGGACCGACACUGACGCUGAGGCGCGAAAGCGUGGGGAGCAAACAGG
rnacentral:rRNA from 1 species